UGUGCGUAUACUCGUAUUGCGAGACAGACAGAGGUAGAAGAAAAAGAUAUCAGCAAUUGAGAACGUGCUACCUCGUACCUGGAGCGAUCGCGAGGAGAAAGAAUUGUGUUUGUUGUAUAUAUUUAUGCGAAUAUAUGAAUAAAUAUGUGAAGUGUUGAUAUGUACAGGUGAACAAGAGUGUGUUAGAGUGAAUUCUACAACAAAGCUGAAAAAUUGCAUCGAGAAUCGAUUUCGAGAGACGUAUCGAGGCGUAGAAUAACUUUAUUCGCGAUUACGUAUUUAGUUGCAUAGAUUUUAAUCGAUGUUGAUAUUUUAUAAUUAUUAUAGAUAAUCCUUCAAUUUUCAUUCUAUAAUAUUCGAGUAACAAGAAAAUUCAAGUUUUUCGUCGGCUUUUUAUAACCUGUAAUUCAAUCUCAGGAAUUCAAUCUCUCGAAACGACAAGGACGCGGAAUGUUAAUUAAAAAUCGCUUAAGAAGCGAAUCGAAUUGACAAGAGAUGAGGGGGAAAAAAGCGAGGCAGAGUUUUCACGGGUAUUAGUGGUGCAACAUGAAUCGAGAGAAUUGCGUGAAUCUGGCAGGAAGAGAACAUCGAUAGUCUCGAAAAACUAGGUUAGAACGCUCGAGGCACGAGCUUCUCGUCUCCACUUUCGCUCAAAAUCGAAACCAGUCUCUCUCGGCAACGAAUCGAAAGUGGCUGAACUGGAGAUUACGUCUCGAAAGUGGUCUCGUGUUUGUAAUGAUCGUGCGUUUUCACUCGGCGAACGUAUAUACGUAGAACGUUAUUUAAACUCACGUAACUCAAAGAUAUGCACGAGUGGAAAAAUAUCGAAUUAAAAUCGCAAAACUGAUCGCUUUUGCGUGACUUUAGAAAGUACAGGAAAUUAGAUUCCAUUGAACGUAUUUCGAGAUAACUAUAAUAAUAAUAAUUGGAAUUUUGUUUGUCUGGUAGUUAGACACGAAUUUCUUAUUUUAAUUUAAAUAAAUACAAGAGAAUCGUUUGAUAAUUAAGUGCAACAGUGUGAAGAGAUAUUGAUUUCACAAAAGGAACGAAAGAUCGCAUGGAACGCAUUCCUUGGAAAGAGCACGACGGAAAUGGAGACAGAGUACACCGGCUCACCCUGGUCGAUACAUCGACUUACUCUCGAGCUUGUCACAGUUGGUGACUUUGCCCUUCCAGUCACAGGUCUGUUUGUCCAAAUCAAAGGCCAACCCGCUGGGGCACGUGAUUUGCUUCAGGCCGGAUUUCGUGCACCUGUGCGUGUCGGACAGAAAACAAAGGGGAUGCCGUUUAAUCAAAUAGAAAUCUAUUUUGGAUACUUGGUAAUUUCUGCUCGCCAUCAUGAUACAUCAUCUCAAGACACGUUCUAAUUAAAAGAGGUUAAGAAUCAUAAGCUGGAUGGAAAUUAUCUCGAGAAAUUUAUAUUUAAGGAAAGAAUAAAUUAAAUAUUUAA